GUAGUUUGACUCCGUGGCUCGAGGAUGAACGCUAGCGGCAGGCCUAAUACAUGCAAGUCGAACGGGAUCGGGGGCUUCGGUCCCCGUGAGAGUGGCGCACGGGUGCGUAACGCGUGAGCAACCUGCCCGUCCCAGGGGGAUAGCCCGGAGAAAUCCGGAUUAAUACCGCAUGAGAAUGCAGGUCCGCAUGGGCCUUCAUUUAAAUAUUCAUAGGGGACGGAUGGGCUCGCGUGACAUUAGCUGGUUGGCGGGGUAACGGCCCACCAAGGCGACGAUGUCUAGGGGCUCUGAGAGGAGAAACCCCCACACUGGUACUGAGACACGGACCAGACUCCUACGGGAGGCAGCAGUAAGGAAUAUUGGUCAAUGGGGGGAACCCUGAACCAGCCAUGCCGCGUGCAGGAAGACGGCCCUACGGGUUGUAAACUGCUUCUGCACGGGAAUAACCCCCGGUAUGUAUACCGGGCUGAAUGUACCGUGAGAAUAAGGAUCGGCUAACUCCGUG
rnacentral:rRNA from 1 species